rnacentral:rRNA from 1 species
GACAGAGGAUGCAAGCGUUAUCCGGAAUGAUUGGGCGUAAAGCGUCUGUAGGUGGCUUUUUAAGUCCGCCGUCAAAUCCCAGGGCUCAACCCUGGACAGGCGGUGGAAACUACCAAGCUGGAGUACGGUAGGGGCAGAGGGAAUUUCCGGUGGAGCGGUGAAAUGCGUAGAGAUCCGGAGGAACACCGACGGCGUAGGCAGCGCCCUGGCUGUGAAUAAAGCUGACACUGAGGCACGAAAGCUGGGGGAGCAAACAGG